CUGAUUCAGGGAGGUAGCGACAAGAAAUAACGAUAGCGGGCUCGUUCGAGUCCGCGCAUCGGAAUGAGGAUAAUUUACACCCCUUCUCGAGGAUCCAUUGGAGGGCAAGUCUGGUGCCAGCAGCCGCGGUAAUUCCAGCUCCAAUAGCGUAUACUAAAGUUGUUGCAGUUAAAAAGCUCGUAGUCGAAUAUAGGUUGUUUGGAUGCGCGAGCACUCUUGUUUAACUUGAGAUGCUUGCGCCCAUUAGCCGCCCUUGUGGAGCUCGAUGUUCUUGAUUAUCAAGAACACUCAAUCGAUCCCACACAUUACUGUGAACAAAAUAGAGUGUUCAUGGCAGGCCAUUAGGGCUUGAAUACCGCAGCAUGGAAUAAUAGAAUAGGACUUCCGGUUCUAUUUUAUGGUUUUUGGAGCCGAAGUAAUGAUUAAUAGGGAUAGUUGGGGGCACUCGUACUCCGUUGUCAGAGGUGAAAUUCUUGGAUUGACGGA
rnacentral:rRNA from 1 species